GACGAACGCUGGCGGCGUGCCUAAUACAUGCAAGUCGAGCGGACGAAUCGAAAGCUUGCUUUUGAUUCGUUAGCGGCGGACGGGUGAGUAACACGUGGGCAACCUGCCCUGUAGACGGGGAUAACACCGAGAAAUCGGUGCUAAUACCGGAUAACACGAAAUGUCGCAUGACGUUUCGUUGAAAGACGGCGCAAGCUGCCGCUACAGGAUGGGCCCGCGGCGCAUUUGCUAGUUGGUGAGGUAACGGCUCACCAAGGCGACGAUACGUAGCCGACCUGAGGGGGUGAUCGGCCACACUGGGACUGAGACACGGCCCAGACUCCUACGGGAGGCAGCAGUAGGGAAUCUUCCGCAAUGGACGAAAGUCUGACGGAGCAACGCCGCGUGAGCGAAGAAGGCCUUCGGGUCGUAAAGCUCUGUUGUUAGGGAAGAACAAGUAACGCAGUAACUGGCGUUACCGUGACGGUACCUAACGAGAAAGCCACGGCUAACUACGUG
rnacentral:rRNA from 1 species